UUGCAAUUUAAACAGUUCGAAUUUAUUCAUUAUUUAUUUCCUUAAUCCAUUUUUCUUUUGCAAACAUUCUGCCAGCAGGUGAAGUUUACACAGAGUUAAUCUGCUAUUCUUUUCAGAAGAAGCGCGGCUCAUUAACUUACAAUCAAGCAAGGUUUAAAAAAAAAAAAAGUAUUGUUCGCGAGGAAACGACUUUAUACUGUCAGCCAGUCGGUGCUGUUAUCAGUCAAACCACACAGAGGAUGAA